rnacentral:hammerhead_ribozyme from 1 species
GCGCUACUGAGGAGUCCCACAAUAGGAUGAAACGACCGUCCAGUGC